AUUGAACGCUGGCGGAAUGCUUUACACAUGCAAGUCGAACGGCAGCACGGACUUCGGUCUGGUGGCGAGUGGCGAACGGGUGAGUAACAUAUCGGAACGUAUCCAAUAAUGGGGGAUAACUAAUCGAAAGGUUGGCUAAUACCGCAUACGCCCUGAGGGGGAAAGCUAGGGAUCUUCGGACCUGGCGUUAAUGGAGCGGCCGAUAUCUGAUUAGCUAGUUGGUGGGGUAAAGGCCCACCAAGGCGACGAUCAGUAGCUGGUCUGAGAGGACGACCAGCCGCACUGGAACUGAGACACGGUCCAGACUCCUACGGGAGGCAGCAGUGGGGAAUUUUGGACAAUGGGCGCAAGCCUGAUCCAGCCAUUCCGCGUGAGUGAAGAAGGCCUUCGGGUUGUAAAGCUCUUUCGCAAGGGAAGAAAACUUAUCCUCUAACAUAGGAUGAGGUUGACGGUACCUUGAUAAGAAGCACCGGCUAACUACGUG
rnacentral:rRNA from 1 species